CCCCUCUUAGGAUGGCACCUGGAGAGUUUCUAGUACUCUACCAGUCUUGGUUGUGGGAGGGAGAGUCAAGCAGAGGCAUUCCCUUCCAUUCCUAGCUUGGGCAAUGGCUAGCAAGUGGAAGGCAAUCUGCUCCAAGU